rnacentral:lncRNA from 1 species
GUAAAAAUAUAAAUAACGAUACCUAGAAUAUUCUUGGUUAAAAUGCUAUAUCGGUAUUAUCUGUGCGCUUGCGGAUCCUUUAUUUAUUUAUUUAUUUAUUUAUUUAUUUAUUUAUUUAUUUAUUUAUUUAUUUAUUCCUAGAAAAGCAUAUAGAUUUAAUACCAACACUUCUACAUCAUGUUAGGGAUGACAACCUAGCUUUAGUGAUGUUAAGUAAUUUUGACGCUAUUGCUAGGGAUAGGUUUAAGAGUAGAUUUUUAGUAGUUGCGUUAAGAAGUGUCAACAGAGACCACGCAUGUAGAAAUCAGUGGGAGCUCACAGAGGCGUGAGGUCAAUCUUGAUGAGAUAUGGGCUGAAUUUUCUAUACCUAUGACUAAAGAUACAACUCCAAUAAUGCAUGAUUUUGUGCCUGAAGUCAAUGCACCUCAGCCUCAUGCUACUACUAUUGAUAUUCCUAUUGAAAAUUUAAAUGUGCAAAAUAAUGAGCC